rnacentral:rRNA from 1 species
GUGGGGAAUAUUGCACAAUGGGCGAAAGCCUGAUGCAGCGACGCCGCGUGCGGGAUGAAGGCCUUCGGGUUGUAAACCGCUUUUGUUAGGGAGCAAGCGUAAGUGAGUGUACCUUUCGAAUAAGCACCGGCUAACUACGUGCCAGCAGCCGCGGUAAUACGUAGGGUGCAAGCGUUAUCCGGAAUUAUUGGGCGUAAAGAGCUCGUAGGCGGUUUGUCGCGUCUGGUGUGAAAGUCCAUUGCUUAACGGUGGAUUUGCGCCGGGUACGGGCAGGCUAGAGUGCAGUAGGGGAGACUGGAAUUCCCGGUGUAACGGUGGAAUGUGUAGAUAUCGGGAAGAACACCAAUGGCGAAGGCAUGUCUCUGGGCUGUUACUGACGCUGAGGAGCGAAAGCGUGGGGGGCGAACAGGAUUAGAAACCCCAGUAGUCC